CCUACGGGAGGCAGCAGCAGGGAAUCUUGGGCAAUGGGCGAAAGCCUGACCCAGCGACGUCGCGUGGGGGAUGAAGGCCCUUGGGUUGUAAACCCCUUUUCCAAGGGAAGAGAUUGGACGGUACCUUGGGAAUAAGCCCCGGCUAACUACGUGCCAGCAGCCGCGGU
rnacentral:rRNA from 1 species